rnacentral:misc_RNA from 1 species
UUUCCGUAGGUGAACCUGCGGAAGGAUCAUUAAAAAAUUGGACUCCAUUGGUGAGUUCAUUAAUAAUCCCUACCCUUUGUGAAUUUGUUUGUUUGAAUAAUUUUUUUUCCAAAAAAAAUUAUUGAAUGUCUUUCCCUGUUUUGGUGGAGCUUGUAAAGUGAAACCAGGCAGGGGAAUGGCAAACAAUAAUUAUUUUUGAAAAAAGACCUUUUUUUAAAAUUAAACUCUUGUAUUCAUUUGUCUAAAAUUAUUCUUAUAAUAUAAAAACAACUUUUGACAAUGGAUCUCUUGGUUCUCGCAACGAUGAAGAACGCAGCAAAAUGCGAUAAGUAGUGUGAAUUGCAGAAUACGUGAAUCAUCGAAUCUUCGAACGCAUAUUGCACUUUUUUAGUUUACUAAAAAAGUAUGUCUGUUUGAGUAUCAGUAAAAUAUUCUCAUAAAAAACAUUGUUUUUUUAUGGUUAUGAGUGUUUUACAACGAUAACAAGUUGUUUCACUUUAAAUUCUUUGUUAUCAAAAAGAUCAUUAAAAGCUAAUUUUAAAGAUUUUUUAAAAUUGGAUAAAAUUUUCCCGUAAAAAGGAAUAACCUAAACAAUUUUAAAAAAUUAAAAUUGGUUUGAUUUUUUUUGAAACCCAAAGGAAAAAAAAACGAAAUUAACUUGAUCUCAAAUCAGAUAAGAGUACCCGCUGAACUUAAGCAUAUCAAUAAGCGGAGGAAAAGAAACUAACUAGGAUUCCCUCAGUAACGGCGAGUGAAGCGGGAAGAGCUCAAAUUUGAAAUCUUCAAGGUUUUACCUUGACGAAUUGUAGUUUAAAGAAGUGUUUUCUGUUGGAGUUUUGGUAAAAGUUCUUUGGAAAAGGACAUCAUAGAGGGUGAGAAUCCCGUAUUUGACCAUUAUCUCCAGCUUUGUGAUACACUUUCAAAGAGUCGGAUUGUUUGGGAAUGCAGUCCAAAAUGGGUGGUAAAUUUCAUCUAAAGCUAAAUACUGGCGAGAGACCGAUAGCGAACAAGUACCGUGAGGGAAAGAUGAAAAGAACUUUGAAAAGAGAGUUAAACAGUACGUGAAAUUGUCAAAAGGGAAGCGCUUGACACCAGUGUUGUUUUCUCGAAAAUCAAUUAAAAAAGGCCGGAUUUUGUGUUGUAUUGACUUUAUCAGCUUUCUGCACUUUUUUCUUGUCUUUUUUAAUGCACUUUUCGUUUAACAAGUCAACAUCAAUUUCUUUUGUUGUAAAAGGGUCAUUGGAAGGUGGCUUUCUUUUCGGAGAAAGUGUUUAUAGCCUUUGGCCUCUGCAAUCGGAGAGAUUGAGGUCUGCAGCGUAGAUCCUUCGGGGUUAGAUACAUUUGUGCUAAGUUAUAGCCUUUCAUAGACAACUUGUUGACUAUGAUCAGUCAUGUAGCUUACUCGCUUAUGCUAUUUUACCUACGCUUAGGAUGUU